UCGAUGGUGACCCCGGAGAGGCC
rnacentral:sRNA from 1 species